rnacentral:tRNA from 1 species
GGUUUGAUGGUCUAGUGGUAUGAUUCUCGCUUAGGGUGACACCCGAGGUUCUAGCAUUAAUAUCGUUAUUACAACGAUAAUAUGCACUUAUGCGAGAGGUCCCGAGUUCAAUCCUCGGUCAAACCC